rnacentral:tRNA from 1 species
GCCUGGGUGGCUCAGUCGUUAAGCAUCUGACUUGGGCUCAGGUCAUGAUCUUACGUUUGUGAAUUCAACUCCCACUUCGGGUG